GAGUUCUCAAACUGUCCAUGUGCACGCGCGCACACACACUCCUUUUCAGUUAGCAUUAACAAAGUACUUCUUUAAAGAAAUCCAAAUACUCAGUACAACAUUUUCCAGCACCCAUUCGCACUCACAAUGAAAUAAUGAACUUUCCCAUCUUCAGGAGGUUGUGGUGGGACACAGGCAAAUGUUCCCAGUGAUGGCAUUGUGGCAUUAAUCCCUCCAAUCUCGGCAGAGUCCAGGUCCAGGCUGCUAAUCCCUACCCUGCCUUCUGAGCUUCCUGACUUUCCAAACCAUUUCUUAAAUGAUGUCCUAUAAAUAUUUGCACUGAAGAACAACCAAGCAGUGGGAUGGAUACCCAACAACUGCAAACAGCUUCAACCUUCGAGAAUGAAGGGCCACUUAAUAAGUCAAGGGAAGGUAGAACAUGUGACUAUUACAAAGAAUACACAGCUAUUUUUUUUCAAGCUCCAUGUUUGGUUUCAAACCAAAAAAAAAAUAAAAGGUCUCUCUUUCAACUUGAAUAUUGCACAGAACUUGGGGAUAAUUUCAUAAGAAUCUACUAAUGGUGGUAACUUUUUUUUGUUUUGUUUUUGUUUUUGUUUUUCGAGACAGGGUUUCUCUGUGUAGCCCUGGCUGUCCUGGAACUCAUGCUGUAGACUACGCUGGCCUCGAACUCAGAAAUCUGCCUACCUCUGCCUCCCAAGUGCUGGGUUUAAAGGCGUGCGCCACCACUGCCUGACAUGGUGGUAACUUUUAAGGCUAAGAUAGAUUUGUACUACAGGUAACAGAUUUUUUUUCUUCUUUUCAUUUGCACUGGAUACAACUGUUGGACUUUUUUUAUUAAUGCAUAUGAGGACUAGCAAGAUGGCUAUUGGGUAAAAGAGUUUACCACCAAGCCUGUUUGCCAGAAUUCCAUCCCAGGAUCCUCAUUGUAGGAGAUAAUUGACUACUCACAGUUAGUUGCCCUCUGCUCCCCACAUGAGGUCUGUGCACAUUCACAUGUACAUACACACACAUACAAGUAAACAGUGGAACACAAAAUAGAUUAAAAACAAAAGUGCCUAUGAAUCUAAAAGAAAGGAAGAUAUUAAGAAAGGCUUUUAACAUUAGAACAAAUUUUAUAAUCUCUACAAAUCUGUGCCUCUCUUCAGAUACAUUUAAAAAUGUCACCUCUUUUUAAACCAUUUGAAAUUUAAAACAAACAUCUCCACAAGUGGAUCAUUCUGUGUGACAAAAUGUUUUGCUUUCCAAACACAUGCUUUCCUCUUAGAGAACUCUAAUGCUAUCAUCUCCUAAGAGAUCCCUCCCUCCGGAAAUGAGGCUCUCUACAAUGCUCACUAUUUUCAUACUUCUUUUUAAAAUAGUUUUCAAAAGCAACCUUGUUGAUGCGUCAUUGAUGUAAAAUGAGCUGUAGAAGCUAGAGAUGUGGCCUAGUGAUGGAUCGCUUUGCAAGCACAGUCCUUGGGUUCAAUUCAGUUCCUAGGCUAGCUUCUUUUUCUCUUCUCUUCUCUUCUCUUCUCUUCUCUUCUCUUCUCUUCUCUUCUCUUCUCUUCUCUUCUCUUCUCUUCUCUUCUCUUCUUUCUUUUCUUUCUCCCUCCCUCCCUCUCUCCUUCUUUCUUUCUUUCUUUCUUUCUUUCUUUCUUUCUUUCUUCAUUCCUUUCUCUCUCUCCUUUUUUUUUUUUUGAGACAGGUUUCUCUGUGUAGCCCUGACUGUCCUGGAAAUCUCUUAGUAGACCAGGCUGGCCUCAAACCUAGAAAUCUGUCUGCCUCUGCUUCUUGAGUGCUGGCAUGCACCAACAAAGCCAGCUUUAAAAAUGUAUCAUUUCAAAUAAGCAUAUCGUAUUCAUUGCACCAGUAUUCAUAAUAGCCAAGCUAUGGAACCAAGCUGGGUAUCCAUGGAUUUGUAACUGGAAAAGAAAUAUGACAUACUAAAAAAAGAAUAUGAGAAUAUGACAUACUGAUAUAAUGGAGUAUUAUUCAACUUUUAAAAGGAGAUCCUAUCAUUUGUGAGAACAUAGGUGAAACUAGUUUUAAAUUAAGUGUACGUGUGCAUGUGCAUGUGUGUUUCUGGUGUUAUGUGCAUCUGUGUACAGUACCUAUACAGGCCAAAAGAGGAUGUAAGUUUUGGAACUGGAGUUACAGGUAGUUGUG
rnacentral:lncRNA from 1 species